rnacentral:rRNA from 1 species
AGCGAACGCUGGCGGCAGGCCUAACACAUGCAAGUCGAACGAAGUCUUCGGACUUAGUGGCGGACGGGUGAGUAACACGUGGGAACGUGCCUUUAGGUUCGGAAUAACUCAGGGAAACUUGUGCUAAUACCGAAUGUGCCCUUCGGGGGAAAGAUUUAUCGCCUUUAGAGCGGCCCGCGUCUGAUUAGCUAGUUGGUGAGGUAAAGGCUCACCAAGGCUACGAUCAGUAGCUGGUCUGAGAGGAUGACCAGCCACAUUGGGACUGAGACACGGUCCACAGUCCUAAGGGAGGCAGCAGUGAGUAAUCUUGCGUAAUGGGCGAACGGCUGACGCAGCCAUGCCGCGUGGAUGAUGAAUGUCUUAGGAGUGUAAAAUCCUUUCACCGGUGAAGAUAAUGACGGUAGCCGGAGAAGAAGCCCCGGCUAACUUCGUGCCAGCCGCCGCAGUAACAC